rfam:Ilumatobacter coccineus YM16-304 DNA, complete genome.
GAAACGGGUAGAAGCAGUCAGCGUCGGCCACGGCGGCGCAGGUCAUUGCCCCUCGC